CUCAGUCAUUCUCAGCUCCUGAGCUCAGCUCAGUCAUUCUCAGCUCCUGAGCUCAGCUCACUCAUUCCUCAGCUCCUGAGCUCAGCUCAGUCCUUCCUCAGCUCAGUCAUUCACCGCUCCUGAGCUCAGCUCAGUCAUUCACAGCUCCUGAGCUCAGCUCAGUCCUUUCUCAGCUCCUGAGCUCAGCUCAGUCAUUCUCAGCUCCUGAGCUCACUGUUGGGAACAAUUCCUGGCACUGAGCAAUCCAGGCACUCCUGAGUGACUGAGAUGCAGCUGUGCUCUCUGCUCAGCCACUCUGGUUCUGUCUGUUCUUUUUCAGAAGUGUGGAUAACAAUUUGUAAUCCCAGUUUGGUUUGUUGGCAGAUUCUGAAAAUGCCAUAAUCCACUCUCAGUUCCCAGUAGGAACUGGUGAGCCCAGCUGCCCACCACACUGGGCUGGGGAGCUGCUGGGGCUGAGGCCAGCCCUGCUCCAGGCAGGGAAUCCCUCACUUCAAAAGGCAUUUUCAAUCCCUCAUUUCAAUCCCUCAUUUCAAAAGGCAUUUUAUGAGCUCACACUGCUUUAAUGUCCCAAAUGUUUGUACUGUGAGCAAUUAAUGCAAGGAACAGCUAUUAGAGAUUUACUUGACAGCAGCUGUCAAAGAUUCCUGCAUGCAAUUAGCUUUAAUAUUCCUCCAACACCUUUGUGAUGCUCCUUACAGCUGAUUAUUUCUCUCUUGGAAGGUGAAAUUGGAGUCAAGUCACAUUUGCUGGCUUUUAGUGACACCCCCUUCCAAGCUUUCAGUUACACCUAAGUUAAAUGGGCAUUAAUUAAGUUUUUUAGCAGCACUUACUUUCUCUCCUUUGCAGCUGGCUUUGGUUUUAUACACUGAAAUCCUGAUUUUUCUCAGCCAAAACCCUCAAACCUCCUGUAAGAGCCCACUGCAGGGCACUGAAAUAACAGAUGUCCUCCUGUGAUGGUGUCUGUGUGUCCUGGUAGAGCUGUACAUUUGGGUAUGUGGGAAAUAAAACUUCUCUGAGAACA